CUUAGAGGUUAAGCCCGAUGAACCUGAAUAUCCAUUAUGAAAAAUUCAUCAUUAUAACUAUAAUAUUAAUUUAUUAAUAUUUAUAUGUGAUAGUGUGCAUUUUUUUCAUAUAAGGACAUUGUGAUCUAUUAACAUAUAAAAAAGUAUUUAUCAAAAGAUCAUUAGCUUUUAAGUUUAUUUUAAUUAAUUUGCUUUUUUAGCUUAUUAACAUAAAAUAAAUGCAAAUGAUUUGAUAAAGUGUUAAUAGAUUUAUGUUAUAUAAUGCUUAAAUCUUUCAAAAAAAAGAUUUUACAAUAAUAUUAAAGUCUAUGAUUUUAUAUAUUUAUUGUAUGCAUU
rnacentral:rRNA from 1 species